GGAGCGUUCUGUAAGCCUGCGAAGGUGUGCUGUGAGGCAUGCUGGAGGUAUCAGAAGUGCGAAUGCUGACAUAAGUAACGAUAAAGCGGGUGAAAAGCCCGCUCGCCGGAAGACCAAGGGUUCCUGUCCAACGUUAAUCGGGGCAGGGUGAGUCGACCCCUAAGGCGAGGCCGAAAGGCGUAGUCGAUGGGAAACAGGUUAAUAUUCCUGUACUUGGUGUUACUGCGAAGGGGGGACGGAGAAGGCUAUGUUGGCCGGGCGACGGUUGUCCCGGUUU
rnacentral:rRNA from 1 species